rnacentral:tRNA from 1 species
AGUUAAUUAAACUUUAGAUAAGUAUAUACCUUGAAAGUAUAAAACAAUGGUUAAAUUCCAUUAUUAACUU